CCAUGUCCAGACCUUUCAGCGCUGUUGUGCCGUUGAUCAUUGGACCAAUUGUUGGAAUCGUUCUCAUCAUUCUCCUGCUCUUGUUUUGUUUUGUCAAAGGAAGACAUUGUGGACCAGGGGAGGGCGCUGUUUACUUUGAGGUGAAAGCAGGAGCUGCAGAAUUCAUUCCAAUGUAUGCUGAGAUCGACCCCAAAGAGGAGGCCAAGAAAAGAUAUAAAGG